UACCACACAGUCUGGUAGUAGCACU
rnacentral:misc_RNA from 1 species